UGUAUUGAUAGUUUAGGGAUAGGGCUUUGACUUGAAUAUAAUUUAACUUACUUUUUUUUAUUUGUUUCUUCCUAAUUUUGCUUAAUUUCAUGCCUUUAUUUAAAAAGAGAAGUUCAUGUCUUAGUUUAGUUUCUAUUGGUCCCUUAAAGUCAAUCUCUUAUUCUUUCUUGUUCUAUAUUUCCUUAUUACUGCAAACAAUAGUUGAUCCUUUUAUUAUGUGUUUGGUUACAGUUUAUUUAUCAUGGUUAACGUGGACGUAAUACUCAACUACGGUUGGGAAUGGACUUAUGAGCCACAAGUCAAGUAUCAUAAAAAGUAAUUUCAUAUUUGGGCAGGAUAUGACUCUAACUAUCUAUAUUGUAUUAGCAUUGUAGAUGAGUACUGUAAUAAUUUAGGGUUUAUUGGGGUUCAACAACUUAUAGUAGUUGUCCCUUCUGGUAGUUUCUAUGAAAUUGAGGGGGGUAGUGGUAUUAGGAGCUUAUUGUCUAUGGCUAGUACAGAUUACUCUGUGAUUAACUAAUUUGUCGUUGAUAAUUAUGAGUUACCAAUUGAUAUAUCUGAUAUUCUGAAUUAUACUGAGCCUUCUGAACCUAAUCAAAUUGAUGAUGAACCUAAUGAUGAUCUUUGUUGAACCUAUCCCUGAGACUAUUGAACCUAGUGUAGGAGUUAUUACUAAUUAUAGCUCAACUGAGACUAAGAGCAUUACUGAUCAAUUUUUAGAUUACGAAGAACUAGACAAUGGUAUGAUCUUCAAGGACAUUCUUGAAGCUAGGAAGUGUUUGAAAUGUAUGCUUUGGCAAAUAAGAAAGAGUUGAGGUUAUUAAAAGUGACACAAAAAGGCUGAGGUAUGAGUCAAGUAGGUUGCCCGUUUGUUUGUCUCAUUUCUAAGGAUGGGGACUGCCCCGAGGUUAGAAGAUCCUAAAAAUAUAUCAUAAUCGGUUGAUUGCUUAUGAUAACAGUAAAGUUGAUUACUUCACCAUUGCACACUAGUUUAAAAGAAGUUGCAAGAUAAUCCUAAAGAUAAAGUGAAGGAGAUGCGGGCUGACUUUAAAACUGCAUUUGAGCUUAAUUCAAGUCAUGACAAGUGCAAGAGGGUAAAAAAAAUUAUUCUGGAUAAACUGCAAUGCAGCUUUAAGGAUGAUUAUAAUAGGCUAGAAGCCUAUGCCAAUGAGUUGAGGACAGUAAUUAUGGAAAUGAUAUAAUUAUCAAUUUAUCAAAAGAUGAACUUCUCGAAGGUAGGAAGAAAUUCUAUCGACUAUACAUUUGUUUCCAUUCAUUGAAGAUGGGUUUCAAGGAAGGUUUAGAACAUUUCAUUGAAUUGGAUGGGACAUUUCUCAAGGGAAAAGCUAAAGGUCGGGUUUUGGUUGCUGUUCCACUUGACUCAAACAGUCAUUUUUAUCCUAUAGCUUGAGAUGUAUUUGACAAAGAGACAAAGAGAACCUGGGACUGGUUCUUGAGACUGAUGAAGAUGUCACAGGAACUAAACAUGGGAGAGGGAUACACUUUCAUUCCAGAUAUGCAAAAGGAACCAUUUCUAUUUUCUAUUGUUCUGUCCAUUUAUAUUUUCUAUAAUUUCGGUCCACUUUUCCAUGUUACAGUUUUGUCCACUUUUUUUUUUUUUUAAAUAAUAUAAAUGGUCUAGUCUUUCUUAUUACAGUUUUGUCCACUUUUUUGUUUUAUAAUGUUCUUACUUACAUCUUAUUUUAUGUUCUAUUGCUUAUGAAUUGUAGAAUUUGCUUGAGGUAAUGAAAGUUGUUCUCCCAGAAGCUAACCAUAAUAAUUGUGUUAGACACAUUAUUUCUAAUUGGAUGAAGAGGUGGAGAUCUGUUAAAUGAAGAAGCUGAUGUGGUGGAAUGUAUGGUCCACCUAUGAGGAGGAGUUUGAUGACCAACUGAGGAAGCUAAGGGACAUGUAUGAAGAUGUUGUACGAGAUUUGAUUCAUUAUCCUCCUCAAUCAUGGUGUAGAACAUUUUUGAAACUGUAUGAAAAAUAUGGUUGUGGAUAACAAUGUUUCAAAGUCAUUCAAUGCAUGAAUCUUAGAUGCAAGGUACAAACCCAUAAUCACAAUGCUAAAGAACAUUAGAUUCAAGGUUAUCAACAUGAUGAGGCCUACUAACUUCAGCCCAAUGUGUGAGGCUUUAUGUUGAUUAUUUGAGAAUUGCUCAUACUUGUGUCUUUCAUUUCAAUGGUGACUUUGGAUAUGAGAUUAUUGAAGGGGCUGAUAGACACACAGUGAGCUUGAGUUCAAAACAAUGCACUUGCAGAACACGACAACUUUCUGGCAUACCAUGUCCUCAUGCUAUCAAAGCUUUGAUGUAUAAGAGGAUUGACCCCUUGACAGAAAUUCAUUGCCAACACAAUUAUCAAGUUAGCUGGCAGGCGUAAGGUGAAGAGGAAUAGACCAAAAGAUGACACCAUCAAAAGACAAAGAGCAUAGUCUAUUUCAAGGAAGAGGAAUAUGGUGUGCAACAAAAGUGGAGAGACAAACAACAACGCAAGAGGGUGUAAGAACGUACAUGUUACUUUCAAUAUCCAUUAACAGUGUAUUUUUAAUUCUGUAAUCAUUUUCUUAUUUUUAUGAUAACAUGUUAAGGAAAAACGGCCAGUGAGAAAGGAAGAAUCCAACUGUUAAUUUGAAGACGUUGAUGUGGACACACAACUAUUUGGACCAGAGGCAACUUAGACCA